AGUGCAGAUCCCGGCGAGAGGCUGCGGCGGUGGAGCCGGCUGGCGGCUUCCUGAUCGCGCAGGAGGAGCAGCGGUUCCUGGACGGCCCUUUCUGAGCGCUGGAUUUGAGAAUGCCCUGGAGGCUCAGCCUAGAUUCUGUUUCUUCUGAGAGGCUCUGUGUCCCUUAAUAAGUCCUUUUUGCUUACACUGUCCCAAGUGAAUUCUGUUCGCGCCUCUGAGCAACGAUGGGUACACAGACAGGGAGAAAUAGAUGCAGACACGGACAGAGACAGGGAAAGUGAUUCAGGGAGACACACAGAGACCCCAUCCCUGCGAAGAGACAAGGAGAAAGACAAUUCUGCAGAAGUGGGGUGGAGAUGCAGGAAAAAAAAUCAAUGGGAGAAGGAAGACCUGGUUAGACAGACACUCAGAGAAAUACGGAAGAUAACAGGCAGAGAGGAGUGAGAGGCAAGGGCAGGUGGGCCAGAAACAGGGACACGGAGACCUCACCAGAAUGCUGGCGUGAAGGUGUUGGUUGAGAGGCCUCAUUUUAAAUAUUUAUUUAUUUAUUUAUUUAGGGACGGACUCUCGGUCUGUCGCCCAGGCUGGAGUGUAGUGGCGCAAUCUCCCCUCACUGCAACCUCCACCUCCGGGUUCAGCAAUU
rnacentral:lncRNA from 10 species